GUGUCAGCCGCCGCGGUAAGACGUAGGGGGCGAGCGUUGUCCGGAAUUACUGGGCGUAAAGCGCGUGCAGGCGGCCCGUUAAGUCCCGUGUGAAAGCCUCCGGCUCAACCGGAGGGGGUCGCGGGAAACUGGCGGGCUUGAGGGCGGGAGAGGGUGGUGGAAUUCCCGGUGUAGCGGUGAAAUGCGUAGAUAUCGGGAGGAACGCCAGUGGCGAAGGCGGCCACCUGGGCCGUCCCUGACGCUGAGACGCGAAAGCUGGGGGAGCGAACGGGAUUAGAAACCCGCGUAGUCC
rnacentral:rRNA from 1 species